GAUGAACGCUGGCGGCGUGCUUAACGCAUGCAAGUCGAACGAAGCUGUUAAAAGGAAGUCUUCGGAUGGAAAUUUAACAGACUUAGUGGCGGACGGGUGAGUAACGCGUGGAUAACCUGCCUUAUACAGGGGGAUAACGGAGAGAAAUUUCCGCUAAGACCGCAUAAGACCACAGCACCGCAUGGUGCAGGGGUAAAAUAUUAAUAGGUAUAAGAUGGAUCCGCGUCCGAUUAGCUUGUUGGUGAGGUAGAGGCUCACCAAGGCGACGAUCGGUAGCCGGCCUGAGAGGGUGAACGGCCACAUUGGGACUGAGACACGGCCCAAACUCCUACGGGAGGCAGCAGUGGGGAAUAUUGGACAAUGGGGGAAACCCUGAUCCAGCGACGCCGCGUGAGUGAAGAAGUAUUUCGGUAUGUAAAGCUCUAUCAGCAGGGAAGAAAAUGACGGUACCUGACUAAGA
rnacentral:rRNA from 1 species